rnacentral:rRNA from 1 species
GAUGAACGCUGGCGGCGUGCCUAAUACAUGCAAGUCGAGCGAACGGACGAGAAGCUUGCUUCUCUGAUGUUAGCGGCGGACGGGUGAGUAACACGUGUAUAACCUACCUAUAAGACUGGGAUAACUUCGGGAAACCGGAGCUAAUACCGGAUGAUAUUUUGAACCGCAUGGUUCAAAAGUGAAAGACGGUCUUGCUGUCACUUAUAGAUGGAUCCGCGCUGCAUUAGCUAGUUGGUAAGGUAACGGCUUACCAAGGCAACGAUGCAUAGCCGACCUGAGAGGGUGAUCGGCCACACUGGAACGGAGACACGGUCCAGACUCCUACGGGAGGCAGCAGUAGGGAAUCUGCCGCAAUGGGCGAAAGCCUGACGGAGCAACGCCGCGUGAGUGAUGAAGGUCUUCGGAUCGUAAAACUCUGUUAUUAGGGAAGAACAUAUGUGUAAGUAACUGUGCACAUCUUGACGGUACCUAAUCAGAAAGCCACGGCUAACUACGUG